rnacentral:rRNA from 1 species
UAAUCGGGGCAGGGUGAGUCGACCCCUAAGGCGAGGCUGAAAAGCGUAGUCGAUGGGAAACAGGUUAAUAUUCCUGUACUUGGUGUUACUGCGAAGGGGGGACGGAGAAGGCUAGGCUAGCCGGGCGACGGUUGUCCCGGUUUAAGCGUGUAGGGGGUGUGACCUGGUAAAUCCGGUUACAUAUCAACCCUGAGGCGUGAUGACGAUGCACUACGGUGCAGAAGUAGUUGAUGCCCUGCUUCCAGGAAAAGCCUCUAAGCUCUAGGUAACAUUGAAUCGUACCCCAAACCGACACAGGUGGUCAGGUAGAGAAUACCAAGGCGCUUGAGAGAACUCGGGUGAAGGAACUAGGCAAAAUGGUGCCGUAACUUCGGGAGAAGGCACGCUGGCAUGUAGGUGAAGUCCCUUGCGGAUGGAGCUGAAGCCAGUCGAAGAUACCAG